rfam:Streptomyces sp. MP131-18 scaf_01, whole genome shotgun sequence.
CGAGCCGGCCGGGCGGUCGCGUCGGGAUCUCCACGAUCCCGCCGAGGAACGUCCGGGCUCCACAGGGCAGGGUGGUAGGUAACACCUACCUGGGGCGACCCACGGGAAAGUGCCACAGAAAACAGACCGCCGGGGGCCACGGCCACCCGGUAAGGGUGAAACGGUGGUGUAAGAGACCACCAGCGCCCAGGGUGACCUGGGCGGCUUGGUAAACCCCACCCGGAGCAAGGUCAAGAGGGGCCCGGAAGGGCCCUGCGCGGACGACUGAGGGCUGCCCGCCCGAGUCCGCGGGUGGACCGCACGAGACCGGUGGCAACACCGGCCCCAGAUGGAUGGCCGCCUCCCCCGCACGCCGCAAGGCCACGGGGCGACAGAACCCGGCGUACAGGCCGACUCGUCCG